rnacentral:rRNA from 1 species
UACGUAGGGUGCAAGCGUUGUCCGGAAUUAUUGGGCGUAAAGAGCUCGUAGGCGGUUUGUCGCGUCUGCUGUGAAAACUGGAGGCUCAACCUCCAGCCUGCAGUGGGUACGGGCAAACUAGAGUGCGGUAGGGGGAGAUUGGAAUUCCUGGUGUAGCGGUGGAAUGCGCAGAUAUCAGGAGGAACACCGAUGGCGAAGGCAGAUCUCUGGGCCGUAACUGACGCUGAGGAGCGAAAGCAUGGGGAGCGAACAGG